AAUAAUUACUCUGACUUUCUCUUGCAUGACUCUUCAUCUCCUCCCCAUUAAUUAAAGAAAUCUAUAAAUAAAUCUAAAGGCAAGCUUCUUAAUUAAAUCCUCCUCCACUACUACACUCUCGUUCUUAUCUGAACGGUUGAAGAUGGAAGAUGGAGGAUUUAGCACUCCACAAGAAAGAAAAACACAAACUUCUCCUUCCCAAGAUUCUGAGACACCUUAUUUCGUGGAAGGAGAAGAUCAGAUGUUGAGGAAAGCGAAACGGCCUCCUCCUAAUGAGAUAAGGCAAAAGAGAGCAACAACUAAUUUAAAGAGAAGGCGACAAAAUAAAAAGAAUAGAUGUAGAGGAAAUGACUGCGAGGAAAUGAUGACAUCAUCCAGCGGGAAGGAGGGAGAAAAAGAUAAUUCCAUAGAAAAGAACAGGAAGGAAAAAUAUCCAAGGUUGGAUUAUAUCGAGACGCCAUCGCCAGAUGAUAAUGAUGGUGGUUCGGGGGAAUCCAAGUGGGAGCCAUCAAGUAAGAAAAAAUUGAUAUAUACCGAGUCACCAUCGCUGGAUCUUGAAAAGUGAUGAUAGUGGCCCGCAUUUUCAAACUGAAGUACCUCUAAAGAAAAUAGAGGAAUCUGAGAGCAAGAGAUAGAACACCUUGAAAAUAAAUAGUUUUCGUACAACAUUAGCAGAAAUUAAGUGACCUGAAGGUGAAGCUUUUCACAUAAAUUGAGGCCUGAGAAAAUUAGACAGUUAAUAGCUUUUUGGAAGCAAGAUGUGCAGUUGAUCGUCUGGAUUAUAUAUCAACGAUUUCAGCUAUAGUUUGUUUCUCUUUACUGAUGAGGAGGAUGGUCCAUUCCAGAGAGCUUUUGCAAAAUUGUUCAUGUAUGCCCUCUGUUUGGUGAAAAGAAUCAAACGACAUAUAUUCUAUGGUAUCGUCGCAAAGCUCAUCAUCAUUUGGUUCAACUACAUGUAUUUAUACAGCAAGCCUUCUCUCCUUCCUUUAAAUAAAAAACAUAGUUAAAUAAGCAAUGUUAAUUGGUGUAUUUCUUUUCUACUUACUAUAAAGGGGAGUUUGAGAGGACGAACAGGCGUAAUUAUGGAGUUUCAAGUUUACUUCAAUUGUACAUCAUGUAUUUUCUGUUUGUACAUUUCGUUGUUCUGAAAAACAUGGAUAUCUUUUGACCAAAUUCUAUUUGUAUCCCUCUAACUUCAGAGAGCAAACACGUGGUCCCAUUUUAAUUCCUCUUCGUUCAUUCUGAAGGACGCAUGUACUAUGUAAGGCACGUGUGCUACCUCUUUGGUGUUCCAAUUAGCCACGCUUUUUGUUAUUUUUCAUUGCCAUUUGGUUUCUGUGUUGUGAUCGUUCUCCAUUGUUGAUUCAAUUGUACUGUUCUUCAUGUGGCUGUGAGUUUCAUUUUGAUUGCUUGCAAAUUCUGCUAAUUGGAUAUUAGCUUAUAUUUCACAUGUAUCAUCUAUAGUUGACUGUUGUUGGCUAAUGCAAUUCUUUGAUGCUUUAUUCUAGAUAGCUAAUUUGAAACGCAUAUUUUGCUUUUUGAGUUCUCUGUCAUUUGUCCUCUAUUUUUGAUUCGGUAUGGAUCUUGAAUGUGUUGUGGGUGCACUUCUUCUUUUUUCUGUUUUUCUUCAUGUGUUCUUAGUGGACUAUGUAGAUGCAUAUGAUUCUGCGACUGUUCUUCACAUGUAGUUUCGGUUGUAUUUGUUUAAUUUUGAUAUGCAAUUUUGUGGUUUCACAUUGUUCCAUCUAGAUAUAUUUGUAGUGGAGAGAGAGAGAACAACAUAACUCGACCAUUGAGAGACAGGAUAAAAAAAGUACUCAAACCGUCUCAGGUGAUAACACUUCUUCCCACACUAUAUGUCUUUGACCUCACAGUUACAAGUACAUUAUUGGAGAACUGAAUCACAAGAGUGUUCGUGAUGAUACGUUAUGGUUCUAUGAAAAAGCAAGCUCCUUUUUGAGAGGAAAUAAGGAAAUUUUAAUUACCUGAUUGCACCAAAUGAGUGUUGAAUGACAGAAGUUAAUGUACAAUUGGGCAAAGGCUCCUCUGCAGCUAUUCAGUGAGGAAAAAAUAGGAGAUGCAUCUAAUGUGUAUAACAUGUUCGAUAAUCUGGUCCAUAAGGAAACCUUGCCUACUGCUUUAGGAAAUGGAACUGAUGCUGGUCGGUGAUCAUGUGAAAGCGCAGCUUCAGCAUCUAUGACUUCUUCGGACGUACUUGCAGCACGCAAAAGUUUUAUCCUUUCAGUUAAAAAUUCAACGUGCUUGGUGAACUUUGGUUGCCUUUUUUGUUUCACAAUGAAAACAUGUUUAUAUUAUGAGUGCUUGAUUGAUGGACUAUAAUUUUCAUGAUUACUAUAUAUUGGUAACAUUACUUCUGGAUUGGAGAGGUAUAUGUGUGUUUACCAAACAGUCCCAAACUUUUACUUUUUACCAUCACCACAUUGGAUUUGGAUGGUCAUGUUGGAUGUUUGAUCAGGAAUAUGAAAGGACAAUAGAGCAACCUGUCUACUACAAGUACAAAUGAAUCAAACAAUAUGAGAUAAUGCAUUUGUCUUUUGGCUUCCCCAACUUUAGUAGAAACCCAGUAUUCAUUUAGCUGCAAACUGUAUUAGCAAGUUGGGACUACAAUUUCUUGUAAUAUGCCAUCUUUAUUCAAUAGAUUUAUGUUGUUAUAGCAGUGAUAUGAUAAUGCAAAUUCAGUAGGCGUUUGGCCAUGACAACCACAUCUUUUUAACUUUAUUUGGUAUUUUGAAGAUGGAGUGGAAGUUGGAGUUGUGUUUGGUUAUAGUUUUUGCAAAGAAUAUUUGGUUGUUUGAAUGUACAGAAUGUGAAAAAAGUGAAAACAAGAUUUUAGGUGUUUUUCAAACUCCAAAUACAACAAUUUUCAUGGCCAAACGCUAAUUUUUGGAAAAAGUGAAAAACAAUUCCGGAAAAAAGUGAAAAAUUCUCAUGGCCUAAGGGGUACUGAAUUAUUGUGCUUAAUCAGUUCAUUCAGUUGAGCUAAAGCCUACAAUCGUUAUCAUUUGUAUCGUUUGGGUUACAAGGGUUUUCUUAGAGCCUUCAAG